rnacentral:rRNA from 1 species
UACGUAGGGUGCGAGCGUUAAUCGGAAUUACUGGGCGUAAAGCGCGCGCAGGCGGCGGUGUUGGCCCGGCGUGAAAGCCCCCGGCUCAACCGGGGAGAGUCGUCGGGGACCGCACCGCUUGAGGGCGGUAGGGGCUGGUGGAAUGCCUGGUGUAGUGGUGAAAUGCGUAGAGAUCAGGCAGAACACCUGGGGCGAAGGCGGCCAGCUGGGCCGUCCCUGACGCUGAGGCGCGAAGGCGUGGGGAGCGAACGGG